UUUUUUAAAGGUAUGCGGAGUUCUUGUUUUGUCCGUGAUGAAACAAUUGUUUCAGUUUUCGGUAUUCGGAGCUCCGUGCAAUUUCAACACCAAUUCGACUUUGAUUUAUAAUUUCUAAAAAGUCUUAGCGAAGCUCAAAGACCCAAAGUUCCAUUCGAUUUGCCUUACUUGUUAUAGGCCUACACAUUUUAAUUUAGAAUUUUGUGGUGGAAUCUAAUGCUUCAUCAAGAAUCAUUUCUCAAUUUACAGUUGCAUUUUGUAGAUUAAGCGAUUACGAGGUAACUGUCUUCAUUUUAUAAGGCAUUCAAGCCCCGUCUUGUAUACCGUUAUAAACACAUAGUAUCAAAUGGUCCGGGAAAGACACAGAGGACGAGCACCGGUUUCAGGUUACACCGCUAACAGUAACGGAGAUACAGCGUCAUCCAAGCGGGAAAAGGACGGUGAUUGUUCCCACAAACUCUUGGCUUGCUGAGACAAAAGAUAUCUACGAGCAGAGACGGAGAUGGUGGAAGUUUGUCUUUGUGGUGAGAUGUCACCGGCGAGAUCCCUGAGAAAGCAAGACUACCCCGAUUAAAAAACCCCACAACACAGCGACUAAUUGAAUUACAGAUAAUUGUACAAGGUGCCCGGUGAAUUUCCUCUCAAUGUAUAUGUAUCCAGGACCACAAGGCACAGAUCUGCAGUCUUAAUCCCAGACAAACACAACCUUUCAACUGAAGGAUAUUAACUAAAACUUUUUGUCAAUUCCGUGAUAAGGCAUUUCCACGAGCAGGUUGUGGAAGAAUAAAGUUUGAGAGUAAUGAUGGUGUGAUUUCCCGGAGCGUGUCCCAUUAUGGAGAAAAUUGUCCUCCACUGAAUUAAACAGUCGGACUCUUCAAGAGAAUUCUAUGUGACAGAUCUCGCAAAGAUGAGGGCAG